rnacentral:rRNA from 1 species
UACGGGGGGGGCAAGCGUUGUUCGGAAUUACUGGGCGUAAAGGGCUCGUAGGCGGCCAACUAAGUCAUACGUGAAAUCCCUCGGCUUAACCGGGGAACUGCGUCUGAUACUGGAUGGCUUGAGAUUGGGAGAGGGAUGCGGAAUUCCAGGUGUAGCGGUGAAAUGCGUAGAUAUCUGGAGGAACACCGGUGGCGUAGGCGGCAUCCUGGACCAACACUGACGCUGAGGAGCGAAAGCGUGGGGAGCAAACAGG